GUGCUAAUCUGCGAUAAGCGCCGGUAAGGUGAUAUGAACCGUUAUAACCGGCGAUACCCGAAUGGGGAAACCCAGUGUGAUUCGUCACACUAUCAUUAACUGAAUCCAUAGGUUAAUGAGGCGAACCGGGGGAACUGAAACAUCUAAGUACCCCGAGGAAAAGAAAUCAACCGAGAUUCCCCCAGUAGCGGCGAGCGAACGGGGAGGAGCCCAGAGCCUGAAUCAGCAUGUGUGUUAGUGGAAGCGUCUGGAAAGGCGCGCGAUACAGGGUGACAGCCCCGUACACAAAAGCGCAUGUGCUGUGAGCUCGAUGAGUAGGGCGGGACACGUGGUAUCCUGUCUGAAUAUGGGGGGACCAUCCUCCAAGGCUAAAUACUCCUGACUGACCGAUAGUGAACCAGUACCGUGAGGGAAAGGCGAAAAGAACCCCGGCGAGGGGAGUGAAAAAGAACCUGAAACCGUGUACGUACAAGCAGUGGGAGCACCCUUCGGGG
rnacentral:rRNA from 1 species